rnacentral:tRNA from 1 species
CGCGGGGUGGAGCAGCCUGGUAGCUCGUCGGGCUCAUAACCCGAAGGUCGUCGGUUCAAAUCCGGCCCGAGCAACAA